UACGUAGGGGGCUAGCGUUGUCCGGAAUCAUUGGGCGUAAAGCGCGUGUAGGCGGUCCGGUAAGUCCGCUGUGAAAGUCGGGGGCUCAACCCUCGAAUGCCGGUGGAUACUGUCGGGCUAGAGUGCGGAAGAGGCGAGUGGAAUUCCUGGUGUAGCGGUGAAAUGCGCAGAUAUCAGGAGGAACACCCGUGGCGAAGGCGGCUCUCUGGUACGUGACUGACGCUGAGACGCGAAAGCGUGGGGAGCAAACAGG
rnacentral:rRNA from 1 species